GCGUAUAACUUUAGAGGAGAAAAGAUAACUUGAUUUUUACCAUAUGUAAUACAAAUCAUAUAAUAUAAUUUGAUAGAAGAGUAAAACUUCUUAAAAUUAGGUACAUUUAGCAGAGGCUUUUAAACUACCACUUAUACAUUUAUUAACUAUCAUAAUUUGUGGCUGGCAUAUGAGUGUCAAAAUUUGUGGCAAUUUGUACGGGAAAAUGUGAGUGGUGGGUGCUUGAUCCACAUUACAAUUUGACAAGGCAAUAUAGGCGCUCUUUCCUCCCUGCUUUAGGACUUUUCAAUUAUAUAUUUUUUUUUGUGUGGAUGUAAGCAUACGCUGAGCACAGUAUUUUCACGAAUAUUCGUGGUUGUGGCUGUUAGUCAGCAUGUACAGUGCAGUUGAAAUAACUACCAAGG
rnacentral:sRNA from 2 species